UACGUAGGGGGCGAGCGUUGUCCGGAUUUAUUGGGCGUAAAGAGCGUGUAGGCGGCCAGGUAGGUCUGCUGUGAAAACUCGAGGCUCAACCUCGAGACGUCGGCGGAAACCAUCUGGCUAGAGUCCGGAAGAGGAGAGUGGAAUUCCUGGUGUAGCGGUGAAAUGCGCAGAUAUCAGGAAGAACACCAGUGGCGAAGGCGACUUACUGGACACAUACUGACGCUGAGGUGCGAAAGCGUGGGGAG
rnacentral:rRNA from 1 species